rnacentral:rRNA from 1 species
CCUGGCUCAGGAUGAACGCUAGCUACAGGCUUAACACAUGCAAGUCGAGGGGCAGCAUGGUCUUAGCUUGCUAAGGCCGAUGGCGACCGGCGCACGGGUGAGUAACGCGUAUCCAACCUGCCUUACACUCUUGGACAGCCUUCUGAAAGGGAGAUUAAUACAAGAUGUUAUCAUGAGUAAGCAUUUUCGCAUGAUUAAAGGUUUACCGGUGUAAGAUGGGGAUGCGUUCCAUUAGAUAGUAGGCGGGGUAACGGCCCACCUAGUCUUCGAUGGAUAGGGGUUCUGAGAGGAAGGUCCCCCACAUUGGAACUGAGACACGGUCCAAACUCCUACGGGAGGCAGCAGUGAGGAAUAUUGGUCAAUGGACGAGAGUCUGAACCAGCCAAGUAGCGUGAAGGAUGAAGGUUCUAUGGAUUGUAAACUUCUUUUAUACGGGAAUAAACGAAUCCACGUGUGGAUUUUUGCAUGUACCGUAUGAAUAAGGAUCGGCUAACUCCGUGCCAGCAGCCGCGGUAAUACGGAGGAUCCGAGCGUUAUCCGGAUUUAUUGGGUUUAAAGGGAGCGUAGAUGGGUUGUUAAGUCAGUUGUGAAAGUUUGCGGCUCAACCGUAAAAUUGCAAUUGAUACUGGCAGUCUUGAGUACAGUUGAGGUAGGCGGAAUUCGUGGUGUAGCGGUGAAAUGCUUAGAUAUCACGAAGAACUCCGAUUGCGAAGGCAGCUUACUAACCUGUAACUGACAUUGAUGCUCGAAAGUGUGGGUAUCAAACAGGAUUAGAUACCCUGGUAGUCCACACGGUAAACGAUGAAUACUCGCUGUAGGCGAUAUACAGUCUGCGGCCAAGCGAAAGCAUUAAGUAUUCCACCUGGGGAGUACGCCGGCAACGGUGAAACUCAAAGGAAUUGACGGGGGCCCGCACAAGCGGAGGAACAUGUGGUUUAAUUCGAUGAUACGCGAGGAACCUUACCCGGGCUUAAAUUGCAACCGAAUAUGGCGGAAACGCUAUAGCUAGCAAUAGCGGUUGUGAAGGUGCUGCAUGGUUGUCGUCAGCUCGUGCCGUGAGGUGUCGGCUUAAGUGCCAUAACGAGCGCAACCCUUGCCGAUAGUUACUAACAGGUUAUGCUGAGGACUCUGUCGGGACUGCCAUCGUAAGAUGUGAGGAAGGUGGGGAUGACGUCAAAUCAGCACGGCCCUUACGUCCGGGGCUACACACGUGUUACAAUGGGGGGUACAGAGGGCUGCUACCACGCAAGUGGAUGCCAAUCCCAAAAACCUCUCUCAGUUCGGAUUGAAGUCUGCAACCCGACUUCAUGAAGCUGG